UACGUAGGGUGCAAGCGUUACUCGGAAUCAUUGGGCGUAAAGCGCGUGUAGGCGGCUUCGUAAGUCCGUUGUGAAAGUCCAGGGCUCAACCCUGGAAUGCCGAUGGAUACUGCGGAGCUAGAGUCCGGAAGAGGCGAGUGGAAUUCCUGGUGUAGCGGUGAAAUGCGCAGAUAUCAGGAGGAACACCAAUGGCGAAGGCAGCUCGCUGGGACGGUACUGACGCUGAGACGCGAAAGCGUGGGGAGCAAACAGG
rnacentral:rRNA from 1 species